GGUCUAUUAGUCUAGUUGGUUAGGACGUCGGAUUCUGACUUACCACCAGAACCUUCCGUAGGCCCAGGUUCGAAUCCUGGAUGGACCU
rnacentral:tRNA from 1 species